UAAAUAAUAAGAAACUUAUAAUAAUGUAAUAUCUAUUCGUUUGUGUCCAUAUAUUUUCCAUAGAAAAGAUGAAAGUUGAGCUUCCACUCAAACAAGAAAUUAGUGUUAAAUAACAGAAAAAUAGACAGCUUUGUUGCCUUCUCGAAUAAGUGGUGUUAGAAUCCUAAAUAAAAAGUCUUUUUUUUUCUACUUUUUUUAUUAGAUACUUUCUUCAUUUAUAUUUCAAAUGUGAUCCCCAACGUCCCCUAUACCUUCCUCCCUCCCUGCUCCCCAACCCACCCACUCCCACUUCCUGGCCCUGGCAUUCCCCUGUACUGGGGCAUAUGAUCUUUGCAAGACCAAGGGCCUUUCCUCCCAUUGAUGGCCAACUAGGCCAUCCUCUGCUACAUAUGCAGCUAGAGACACAGUUCUGUGGGGUACUGGUUAGUUCAUAUUUUUGAUCCUCCUAUAGGGUUGCCUACCCCUUUAGCUCCUUAGUUACUUUCUCUAGCUCCUUCCUUAGGAGUCCUGUGUUCCAUCCAAUAGAUGACUGUAAGCAUCCACUUCUGUAUUUGCCAGGCACUGGCAUAGCCUCACAAGAGAGAGCUAUAUCAGGGUCCUGUGAGCAAAAUCUUCCUGGGUUUGGUGGUUGUAUAUGGGAUAGAUCCCCAGGUAGGGAAGUCUCUCGAUGAUCCUUUCUACUGUCUCAGCUCUGAACUUUGUCUCUGUAACUCCUUCCAUGGGUAUUUUGUUCCCCAAUCUAAGAAGGAACGAAGUAUCCACAGUUUGUUCUUCCUUCUUCUUGAGUUUCAUGUGUUUUGUAAAUUGUAUCUUGGGUAGUCUAAGUUUCUGGGCUGCUAUUCAGUUAUCAGUGAGUGCAUAUCAUGUGUGUUCUUUUGUGAUUGGGUUAUCUCACUCAGGAUGAUAUCCUCCAGAUGCAUCCAUUUGUCUAAGAAUUUCAUAAAUUCAUUGUUUUUAAUUAUUGAGUACUACUCCAUUGUGUAAAUGUACCACAUUUUCUAUAUCCAUUCCUCUGUUGAGGGACAUCUGGGUUCUUUCCAGCUUCUGAAUAUUAACAACACUUGAUCAGUAUCCAUAAGUUGAUAAAUCUGUCUUGCUUGGCUUAAGCUUCCUGUGUUCUCACCCAGAGUUUUGUGCAAAGUAAAGUGGGGAAAGAGGUAGAUAUGUAGGUGGGUUGGUAGGUAUAUAGACUCAUUGUAGAAUCAUACAUAUGCAUACACAUUUCAUUUUUGCCUUUGUAUAGCUGUAUGUCUUUGCAUACUAAUCUGAGAUUAAUAUGAGUGGAAAUGGCUAGAUGGUAGUACUUUGCUCUGAUAAAGUUGCUGGAAUCACAGAGAACAUUUUAGUCUUCAUGACAUGGCAAGCAUGGCCAGUGCAGAUCCUGCCUACCACCAUUCUGUACUGCUAUUCACAUUUGUUUUCUGUCUGUUUGUACAGAAUGAUGAGAGAGAGAGAGAGAGAGAGAGAGAGAGAGAGAGAGAGAGAGAGAGAGAGAGAGAGAGAUGGUUUGACUAAAAUACAUGAGGCAUACCCUGACACCUAGUGCUAGUGUGUCAAACAGAAAAAAAAAAAGCAAAAAAAAAAAAAAAAAAAAAAAAAAAAAAAACAACUAAACUGACAUUAUCAGAAAUAUCUGGAUGUUUUCCACUAUUUUGUGUCACAUUAAAAACAGUUUAGGAACUCAUAAAAUGGAAUAUACACAAAGACAGUAUUAUUUGAAGAUGGACUUCUUACUAUGCUUGUUCAAACAAUAAUCUUUUCCUUCAAAUGCUACCAUGAAGUCAAGGGGCAGGUACUUUAAGUCCAUGUUUAGUGACAUGAGUCUGGUGAUCCCAGUACACGUGGUUUUGUAUAUGUGUGGGAAUGGGCACAUAGAACCUACCUUACUUUUUUUUUUUUUCCUUUUGACUGCCAUAUCUCAAAUGUUAUUUGAUCAUUUUCUUUCUUCUUGAGUUUGGAAUUUUAGGGCUCGGUUCAAUCAGUGGACAUUUCUGCUGCUGUCAUGUAACAAAACAGGUGGAAUUUUAUCAUGCUGAGAGUUUCUGGUUGGUUUGUUGAAAUUACAUCUCUCUUCUGGGACUUAACAUUUUCCAACCAUUGUUGAACAUUUGUUUCAGCCACAAUAAAUUUUUCACUCGCAGGUCUUGUAACUAAUCUUGUCCAGUCCCAGAGGUACUUUGUGAUAUCCAGAGUGCACUGAAGGGAGGAAAACAGCAUCUGCUAUUAGCAGAUUUUUUCCGAAUUACUUAUAUCUCGCCCUUUCUGCCCUUUCUUUGUGAUUUCCAAGCUUAUUUGAGGAAUCAGAAAAGAUUCAGGAAGAUAAUUUGCAUACAAGGGUACAAAUUACAAACAGUGAGACAUUUUUUAAAUGAAAAGAAAAUGAUCCAAAAGUAAAAUCUUUAUAACCAUUCUUCAUAAACCUAAGAAUAGACAUGCUAUGCUAAGGCUAAGUACCAACUAAAACACAGUCCCUUGGAGAGUGCAGAUACCAUGUGUCCCACUCCCAAGUGACCCACUGUGUACUAAACAUUCUUAUUUACAGAAAAGCACAGAAGUGUUAGAUUGGAUGUUUUUCUAGUAGGUGUAAGGUUAAUGUUGCAGAGAGUUUCCCGUUCCUUGAAAGCUAAGUGUCCUGAAACUUUCAAAGACAGGCCAGCAGUAGGCAAGUAUAGAACUCAGCUUUACAAAGAAAAUU
rnacentral:lncRNA from 1 species